GGGCGCUUAGCUCAGUUGGCAGAGCAUCGCCCUUACAAGGCGAGGGUCACUGGUUCAAGUCCAGUAGCGCCCACCA
rnacentral:tRNA from 1 species